CUUUACGCAGUUAGUUGAGAGAUGAAUAGCGAGAUCUGGCCUGAAAAAUAAGGAGAUGAUGAAUAAAUGAGGAACUAAAGAACACCAAAAGAGACAGUUUGCCCAGUUUGCUCAUUGCUGCUCCCUCUUGGUUGUAUUAAAUAAUCGAAAAUAUACAUUAUGGCAGAAUACCGCCCUCUAGUGAUGAUUAUGUAUGAUCUAGUGAGGAAUCCUGCAGCAAUUUGCCUGAUACAGACAUAACUUUCAUUGAUAACCUAUAAUCUUUCAAAGUAUCCUAAAUACUUAAAUUGUCAUACUUUAAUAUAUUAUGAAUUAGCAUUCACAAGGUUUCCCUGAAUAUAAAACUAUGUUAUUUAACUUGUUCACUGAAUUCUUACCUUUUUGUGUAGGAGACAUUAUUAAAAUGAUUACAAACAGA